GGCCCCAUCAUCUAAUGGUUUAGGAUACUAGGUUCUCAUCCUAGAAAUUUGGGUUCGAAUCCCAAUGGGGUCACAA
rnacentral:tRNA from 1 species